GGCGGAAUGCUUUACACAUGCAAGUCGAACGGCAGCAUAGAGAGCUUGCUCUCUGAUGGCGAGUGGCGAACGGGUGAGUAAUAUAUCGGAACGUGCCUAGUAAUGGGGAAUAACUAGCUGAAAGGUUAGCUAAUGCCGCAUACGACCUACGGGUGAAAGCAGGGGAUCUUCGGACCUUGCGUUAUUAGAGCGGCCGAUAUCUGAUUAGCUUGUUGGUGGGGUAAUGGCCUACCAAGGCGACGAUCAGUAGCUGGUCUGAGAGGACGAUCAGCCACACUGGAACUGAGACACGGUCCAGACUCCUACGGGAGGCAGCAGUGGGGAAUUUUGGACAAUGGGGGCAACCCUGAUCCAGCCAUUCCGCGUGAGUGAAGAAGGCCUUCGGGUUGUAAAGCUCUUUCGCAAGAGAAGAAAACUUACUAUCUAAUAAAUAGUAAGUAUGACGGUAUCUUGACAAGAAGCACCGGCUAACUACGUGCCAGCAGCCGCGGUAAUACGUAGGGUGCAAGCGUUAAUCGGAAUUACUGGGCGUAAAGCGUGCGCAGGCAGUUUUAUAAGUCAGAUGUGAAAUCCCCGAGCUCAACUUGGGAACUGCGUUUGAAACUGUAAGACUAGAGUGUGUCAGAGGGGGGUAGAAUUCCAAGUGUAGCAGUGAAAUGCGUAGAGAUUUGGAGGAAUACCAAUGGCGAAGGCAGCCCCCUGGGAUAACACUGACGCUCAUGCACGAAAGCGUGGGGAGCAAACAGGAUUAGAUACCCUGGUAGUCCACGCCCUAAACGAUGUCUACUAGUUGUUGGUGGAGUAAAAUCCAUGAGUAACGCAGCUAACGCGUGAAGUAGACCGCCU
rnacentral:rRNA from 1 species